rnacentral:rRNA from 1 species
CAAUAGCAUAUAUUAACGUUGUUGCAGUUGAAAAGCUCGUAGUUGAACUUUUGGUAGGAGCGACCUGGCCUUGGGCGCAUGCCCUUGUUUGCCGUGUGUCGUGUCUGGCCAUCCUUUUCUUCGUUUUUCGGUGGGAUCUUUUACUGUGAGUAAACUGGAGUGCUCAAAACAAGACGUUUGUUUGGUACAUUAAAGCAUGGAAUAAUAAGAUAGGACCUGGUUACUAUUUUGUUGGUUUGCAUAGCUAGGUAAUGAUUAACAGGGACAGUUGGGGGUAUUCGUAUUUAAUUGUCAGAGGUGAAAUUCUUGGAUUUAUGAAAGACGAACGACUGCGAAAGCAUUUACCAAGGAUGUUUUCAUUAA